rnacentral:rRNA from 1 species
AUUCCUACGGGAGGCAGCAGUGGGGAAUUUUCCGCGAUGGGCGAAAGCCUGACGGAGCAACGCCGCGUGAGGGAUGAAGGCCUCUGGGCAGUAAACCUCUUUUAUCAAGGAAGAAGAUCUGACGGUACUUGAUGAAUAAGCCACGGCUAAUUCCGUGCCAGCAGCCGCGGUAAUACGGGAGUGGCAAGCGUUAUCCGGAAUUAUUGGGCGUAAAGCGUCCGCAGGCGGCCCUUCAAGUCUGCUGUUAAAAAGUGGAGCUUAACUCCAUCAUGGCAGUGGAAACUGUUGGGCUUGAGUGUGGUAGGGGCAGAGGGAAUUCCCGGUGUAGCGGUGAAAUGCGUAGAUAUCGGGAAGAACACCAGUGGCGAAGGCGCUCUGCUGGGCCAUCACUGACGCUCAUGGACGAAAGCCAGGGGAGCGAAAGGGAUUAGAUACCCCUGUAGUCCUGGCCGUAAACGAUGAACACUAGGUGUCGGGGGAAUCGACUCCCUCGGUGUCGUAGCCAACGCGUUAGGUGUUCCGCCUGGGGAGUACGCACGCAAGUGUGAAACUCAAAGGAAUUGACGGAAU